AUGUGGUUACGUUGGACCUACUUGGAUAAUCGAGGACAACACUCCUGCGUUAGUUCCCUAGAGCUGCUGCAAGAAACGAGCACGGAGUGCCAUGGGCUCCAAGGCCCAUCACUUUAUCCACUUGUAACUGAGCCCUGCUGCACCCGCAGGCUCGUGAAUGCAGGGGUCCAGGGUGGGCACCACAGCAGGAGCCCUGCCUCUGUGGCCUCCCACUGGCAGCAGGUGUCGACCUUUACCAGUGCAGCUCCUGCAGGGUGUCUCCCAUUGUGCAGUCAACCCAGGAGCACACAGACAACCUCCCAGGAGCUGCUGGCUCUGAGGUUCUGCAGAGGAGGGCAUCACAAUAACGGCAAGUGCAUGGCACUUGGCAGCAGUCAGUGGCGCUCUCUGAGCUCACUGCCCAAAGCAGGGCCCUUCUUUGCUGAUAGGAGUCUUUCCUUCCUUUUGCCCCAUCCCUGCAGAGAGAUGCUCCAGCCACUCCGGAAGUGCCCAAGUCCCUGUUCCACCACUGCCAUACACCCAGAGAAUUCCUUGCUGCCAACGAGUGACGUCCAAGGAGCUCCUGCUGCCAGAUCUGCACCCGUGUCAGUCAUCCGCCCCCCUAUGCCCAGAGAAUGUGUGGCUAAAGGACACAGACAGCAGGCCAACUUCGUCUUCUGCACUUGGCAGACCCAGGCGGAAGGUGCUCCAGUCUCUGUCCAGGUCCUCAAGCCUGAUCUCUACCACUACCGCCGGCCCGGAGAGUGCCCUGUCGCUGAAGGUGAGCCCGGGGUUGCUCAUAAGCGAGCUCAGACGCGGGGGUGAGAGCCCGCUGCAGGGCCUGCGCCCCCCAAAGCUGGGGUCGGCGUCGAAUUCUGAUGCUUGUUGCCCUCGCGCUCCGUGCUUC
rnacentral:lncRNA from 1 species